rnacentral:rRNA from 1 species
GACGAACGCUGGCGGCGUGCUUAACACAUGCAAGUCGAACGGAAAGGCCCUGCUUUUGUGGGGUGCUCGAGUGGCGAACGGGUGAGUAACACGUGAGUAACCUGCCCUUGACUUUGGGAUAACUUCAGGAAACUGGGGCUAAUACCGGAUAGGAGCUCCUGCUGCAUGGUGGGGGUUGGAAAGUUUCGGCGGUUGGGGAUGGACUCGCGGCUUAUCAGCUUGUUGGUGGGGUAGUGGCUUACCAAGGCUUGGAAGGGUAGCCGGCCUGAGAGGGUGACCGGCCACAUUGGGACUGGGGUGCGACCCAGACUCCUACGUGAGGCAGCAGUGGGGAAUAUUGCACAAUGGGCGGAGGCCGGAUGCAGCAACGCCGCGUGCGGGAUGACGGCCUUCGGGGUGUAAACCGCUUUCGCCUGUGACGAAGCGUGAGGGACGGUAAUGGGUAAAGAAGCACCGGCUAACUACGU